rnacentral:rRNA from 1 species
AUUGAACGCUGGCGGAAUGCUUUACACAUGCAAGUCGAACGGCAGCACGGGGGCAACCCUGGUGGCGAGUGGCGAACGGGUGAGUAAUACAUCGGAACGUGCCCAGUCGUGGGGGAUAACGUAGCGAAAGCUACGCUAAUACCGCAUACGAACUGAGGUUGAAAGCGGGGGAUCGCAAGACCUCGCGCGAUUGGAGCGGCCGAUGGCAGAUUAGGUAGUUGGUGGGGUAAAGGCCUACCAAGCCGACGAUCUGUAGCUGGUCUGAGAGGACGACCAGCCACACUGGGACUGAGGCACGGCCCAGACUCCUACGGGAGGCAGCAGUGGGGAAUUUUGGACAAUGGGCGCAAGCCUGAUCCAGCCAUUCCGCGUGCAGGAUGAAGGCCCUCGGGUUGUAAACUGCUUUUGUACGGAACGAAAAGGCCUGGGUUACUACCCUGGGCUGAUGACGGUACCGUAAGAAUAAGCACCGGCUAACUACGUGCCAGCCGCCGCCGUAAGAC